AUGAUUCAUAGUAAUCGAACGAAUCGCAGGUAUAUGCGAUAAGUCAUUCAAGUUUCUGCCCUAUCAGCUUUGGAUGGUAGUGUAUUGGACUACCAUGGCAGUCACGGGUAACGGAGAAUUAGGGUUCGAUUCCGGAGAGGGAGCCUGAGAAACGGCUACCACAUCUACGGAAGGCAGCAGGCGCGCAAAUUGCCCAAUCCCGACACGGGGAGGCAGUGACAAGAAAUAACAACUCUAGGAUUUCUUAGAAGUGUAAUGAGGAUAAUUUACAAACCUUACCGAAUGCAAUUGGAGGGCAAGUCUGGUGCCAGCAGCCGCGGUAAUUCCAGCUCCAAUAGCGUAUAUUAAAGUUGUUGCAGUUAAAAGCUCGUAGUUGAAGUUCUGAUCGUUCAGGUCCUCAGCCUUAGGCGGGGAUUCUGACGGUCAUCCGCUUGCAAACAUAUGUUCGAUCUUCACCGGUUGGCUAUGUGAGUAAGCAAUUUACCUUGAGAAAAACAGAGUGUUCCAGGCAGGUUUGUCCGGAAUGCAUUAGCAUGGAAUAAUAGAACAUGACUGAAGUCUAUUUAUUGGUUUAAGGCUUUAGUAAUGAUUAAUAGGAACAGUCGGGGGCAUUCGUACUCAGCAGUCAGAGGUGAAAUUCUAAGAUUUGCUGAAGACGAACUAAUGCGAAAGCAUUUGCCAAGGAUGUUUUCAUUAAUCAAGAACGAAAGUUAGGGGAUCAAAGACGAUCAGAUACCGUCCUAGUCUUAACUAUAAACGAUGCCGACUCGGAUUCAGAUGAAUCAAAAAGUUCAUUUGGGACCGUAGGAGAAAUCAAAGUCUUUGGGUUCUGGGGGGAGUAUGGUCGCAAGGCUGAAGCUUAAAGGAAUUGACGGUUUUGCACCACCAUGGAGUGGAGUCUGCGGCUUAAUUUGACCCAACACUGGGAAACUCAUCAGGGCAAGAAGAUUUUAGGAUUGACAGAUUGAGAGUUCUUUCUUGAUUGGUCUAGUGGUGGUGCAUGGCCGUUCUUAGUUGGUGGAGUGAUUUGUCUGGUUAAUUCCGUUAACGAACGAGACCUUAACCUGCUAACUAGUGCUUCGAUCUCUAAUCGAAGGCACUUCUUAGAGGGACUAUGUGUGGUAAUCACAUGGAAGUUUGAGGCAAUAACAGGUCUGUGAUGCCCUUAGAUGUCCUGAGCUGCACGCGUACUACAAUGGCACUUUCAACAAGUCUUUCCUGAUCCGAAAGGAUUUGGGUAAUCUUUUUAGGGAGUGCCGUGCUUGGGAUAGAUCUUUGUAAUUGUGGAUCUUGAACUAGGAAUU
rnacentral:rRNA from 1 species